rnacentral:rRNA from 1 species
GAUGAACGCUGGCGGCGUGCCUAAUACAUGCAAGUCGAGCGAACAGACGAGGAGCUUGCUCCUCUGACGUUAGCGGCGGACGGGUGAGUAACACGUGGAUAACCUACCUAUAAGACUGGGAUAACUUCGGGAAACCGGAGCUAAUACCGGAUAAUAUAUUGAACCGCAUGGUUCAAUAGUGAAAGACGGUUUUGCUGUCACUUAUAGAUGGAUCCGCGCCGCAUUAGCUAGUUGGUAAGGUAACGGCUUACCAAGGCGACGAUGCGUAGCCGACCUGAGAGGGUGAUCGGCCACACUGGAACUGAGACACGGCCCAGACUCCUACGGGAGGCAGCAGUAGGGAAUCUUCCGCAAUGGGCGAAAGCCUGACGGAGCAACGCCGCGUGAGUGAUGAAGGUCUUCGGGUCGUAAAGCUCUUUUAUUAGGGAAGAACAAAUGUGUAAGUAACUAUGCACGUCUUGACGGUACCUAAACAGAAAGCCACGGCUAACUACGUG